rnacentral:rRNA from 1 species
CACGUAGGGGGCGAGCGUUGUCCGGAAUUAUUGGGCGUAAAGGGCUCGUAGGCGGUUUGUCGCGUCGGGAGUGAAAUCCACUGGCUUAACUGGUGGCUUGCUUUCGAUACGGGCAGACUGGAGGUAUGCAGGGGAGAACGGAAUUCCUGGUGUAGCGGUGAAAUGCGCAGAUAUCAGGAGGAACACCGGUGGCGAAGGCGGUUCUCUGGGCAUGUCCUGACGCUGAGGAGCGAAAGCCAGGGGAGCAAACGGG